UACGGAGGGGGCUAGCGUUGUCCGAAGUUACUGGGCGUAAAGCGCGCGUAGGCGGGUUGGUAAGUCCGCUGUGAAAGCCCGGAGCUCAACUCCGGAGGGUCGGUGGAUACUGCCAGUCUUGAAGGUGCUAGGGGGAGAUGGAAUUACCGGUGUAGCGGUGAAAUGCGUAGAUAUCAGGAGGAACACCUGUGGCGAAAGCGGCUCACUGGACCACAACUGACGCUGAGGCGCGAAAGCUAGGGGAGCAAACAGG
rnacentral:rRNA from 1 species